CCAAGAGACAUUUGUGUCCCUGAUGAUAAGGAAAAAUGUCUGGAACAGUGGGAGCCCUAAUCAUAUUAUUUUACAGUAUUGCAGAGGUAUCACAAUCUGUCCACGUGAACCUCACAGCCACUGUCGGACAGAACGUCACUCUGCCAUGUCGAGCUCCAAACAACAAGCUGAUCGGAGUUGUAGAGUGGAACAGAGCUGACCUGGAGGAUCAGUAUGUGUUUUUGUUCCUGGACGAUCAUACUGAUGCAGCCAAUCAGCAUCCAUCUUUUAAGGGCCGGGUGGAUCUGCAGGACAGACAGAUGAAGGAUGGAAAUGUGUCUUUGAUUCUGAUCGAUGUGAACAUUAAUGACACUGGAACAUACGAGUGUCGUAUCAAGACAGGAACAAAUCGCAAGAGGAGAGCUCAUCUGAAGACCGAGCCCAUCAGCAUCAUCUACCUGAGUGUUGUUGAUCCUCCAGGUGAGUGAGUAGAGUUGAGUGUGUGUGUGAUCAGAGGUGAAGCUGCUUCCUGGUUGUUGAUGUUUGUUUCUAAAGAUGUUGUUGAUGAGACUUUGUAGAAAGCAGCUGGUCUGAGUGAUGUGAUCAGAGUGCAGUAGAUAAUGUCUGACAGCAGUUUGAAGAGGAAAUGGAUUCUGUUCUGUUCUUCACUCAUCACCUACCUGACAGCUGACACCUCACACCUGUUUCUCACCUGCAGGUCACACAGGAG
ensembl:lncRNA